rnacentral:rRNA from 1 species
UUGAACGCUGGCGGCAUGCCUUACACAUGCAAGUCGAGCGGCAGCAUGAUCUAGCUUGCUCGAUUGAUGGCGAGUGGCGAACGGGUGAGUAAUACAUCGGAACGUGCCCUGUAGUGGGGGAUAACUAGUCGAAAGAUUAGCUAAUACCGCAUACGACCUGAGGGUGAAAGUGGGGGACCGCAAGGCCUCAUGCUAUAGGAGCGGCCGAUGUCUGAUUAGCUAGUUGGUGAGGUAAAGGCUCACCAAGGCGACGAUCAGUAGCUGGUCUGAGAGGACGAUCAGCCACACUGGGACUGAGACACGGCCCAGACUCCUACGGGAGGCAGCAGUGGGGAAUUUUGGACAAUGGGCGAAAGCCUGAUCCAGCAAUGCCGCGUGUGUGAAGAAGGCCUUCGGGUUGUAAAGCACUUUUGUCCGGAAAGAAAUGGCUCUGGUUAAUACCUGGGGUCGAUGACGGUACCGGAAGAAUAAGGACCGGCUAACUACGUG